GACGAACGCUGGCGGCGUGCUUAACACAUGCAAGUCGAACGGAAAGGCCCUGCUUUUGUGGGGUGCUCGAGUGGCGAACGGGUGAGUAACACGUGAGUAACCUGCCCUUGACUUUGGGAUAACUUCAGGAAACUGGGGCUAAUACCGGAUAGGAGCUCCUGCUGCAUGGUGGGGGUUGGAAAGUUUCGGCGGUUGGGGAUGGACUCGCGGCUUAUCAGCUUGUUGGUGGGGUAGUGGCUUACCAAGGCUUUGACGGGUAGCCGGCCUGAGAGGGUGACCGGCAAAGUGGGGACGGAGGUAGGGCGCAGAGGCGUAGGGGAGGGAGAGGUGGGGAUGAUGGAAAAGGGGGCGGAAGCCUGAUGCAGCAGCGCCGCGUGCGGGGUGACGGGCUUGGGGUUGAAAACCGCUUUCGCCUGGGACGAAGCGUGAGUGACGGUAAUGGGUAAAGAAGGACCGGCUAACUACGUG
rnacentral:rRNA from 1 species